CGUAGGUGCGAGCGUUGUCCGGAAUUAUUGGCGUAAAGGGCUCGUAGGCGGUUUGUUGCGUCGGGAGUGAAACUCAGGGCUUAACCCUGAGCCUGCUUCCGAUACGGGCAGACUAGAGGUAUGCAGGGGAGAACGGAAUUCCUGGUGUAGCGGUGAAAUGCGCUAGAUAUCAGGAGGAACACCGGGUGGCGAAGGCGGUUCUCUGGGCAUUACCUGACGCUGAGGAGCGAAAGUGUGGGAGCGAACAGGAUU
rnacentral:rRNA from 1 species